rnacentral:misc_RNA from 1 species
AUAUACGUGAUACAUGUAUGUGUAUAUAAUCGAUUGCGAUGGAAAAUUACAGUAACAAUUAUUGAGGUAACAAUGAGUACCUGCGUUUUUUGCAAAACAAAGCAAUCAAAAUAUUGUGGACGAUCAUUUCACAAGUGAGUAUACAACGCUGAAGCGUUCUGCAAAUGAUAACUUGCAGAGGUUAUGUCAGCAUACGAAGUAUUUACUAAUUAUAUUUAACGAGUAUUAUAACAUUUCCCGUGAAAGAUGUGUUGCGCGUUCAGCAUUGGUUAGAAGAAAUGAAGAGGAAGGACUGGAAGCCAAACCGAAAUAGCACAUUGUGUUCAGCUCAUUUUACAAAUGACUGCUUUGAUAGGACAGGAUUCCUAAUUACAUUGAAAAAGAACAGUGUACCAACUAUAUUUGACAACCCAAAAUCAGAGUGUUCAUCUUGUCACCGAUUAAAGGAAUAUGGACGUGGCUAUUCAUUCUUCAAGUUCCCAUUGGAUGAACCUGAUAUUAUGAAGCAAUGGAUCGCAAAUAUAAACAUUGGACCGUGGUCUCCAUCAAGUGAUAGCUUUCUGUGUUCCGACCACUUUGAACUCUCUUGCUUUCAGAAGAAAAGUAAAAAUUAUAUAACUUUACGAAAAGGCAGUAUCCCAACGUUAUUUGGUGAAAACUUGCAGCAGACCGAAUUUCAGGAUGAAUCCGAUCGGCCCACCACAGUGAAUGUAACCAAAUUACAUGAUCACCUACACAUUUGUACCUGAUUUGCAUGCUC